rnacentral:misc_RNA from 1 species
UCCGGCUUAUCACCGGCAGUUUCUUUAGAGUGCCCAACUAAAUGAUGGCAACUAAAGACGAGGGUUGCGCUCGUUGCGGGACUUAACCCAACAUCUCACGACACGAGCUGACGACAGCCAUGCACCACCUGUGCACUGGCCCCGAAGGGCUGCCGGAUUUCCCCGACAUUCCAGUGCAUGUCAAGGCCAGGUAAGGUUCUUCGCGUUGCAUCGAAUUAAGCCACAUACUCCACCGCUUGUGCAGGCCCCCGUCAAUUUCUUUGAGUUUUAAUCUUGCGACCGUACUCCCCAGGCGGCGCAUUUAUCGCGUUAGCUUCGCCACAGAAGGGGUUGAUUCCUCCUACAGCAAAUGCGCACCGUUUAGGGCCGGGACUAC